AGUGAACGCUGGCGGUAGGCCUAACACAUGCAAGUCGAACGGCAGCACAGGAGAGCUUGCUCUCUGGGUGGCGAGUGGCGGACGGGUGAGGAAUACAUCGGAAUCUACUCUGUCGUGGGGGAUAACGUAGGGAAACUUACGCUAAUACCGCAUACGACCUACGGGUGAAAGCAGGGGACCUUCGGGCCUUGCGCGAUUGAAUGAGCCGAUGUCGGAUUAGCUAGUUGGCGGGGUAAAGGCCCACCAAGGCGCCGAUCCGUAGCUGGUCUGAGAGGAGGAUCAGCCACACUGGAACUGAGACACGGUCCAGACUCCUACGGGAGGCAGCAGUGGGGAAUAUUGGACAAUGGGCGCAAGCCUGAUCCAGCCAUACCGCGUGGGUGAAGAAGGCCUUCGGGUUGUAAAGCCCUUUUGUUGGGAAAGAAAUCCAGCUGGCUAAUACCCGGUUGGGAUGACGGCACCCAAAGAAUAAGCACCGGCUAACUUCGUGCCAGCCGCCGCCGUAA
rnacentral:rRNA from 1 species